UUAAAAUUAGAAUGUUUUUUUCUUGUUAGACUAUAUGAAGUUGUAUACAGAUAUGUUUUAGGUUUUGAUUUGAUAAGGUCUGAGGCAUAACUAACUACAUUACUUAGCUUAGAAUUCAUAUAUAGAAGUGGAUGUGGACUUUAUUAUUUCAUAUAUAAACUACAUUAUUGUUCAUAUACUUGAGCCUUAAGUAAUGUCAAUUGUUUCCUGGAGGGUUCCUCAAAAAUGCAGGUUGGCCAUAUACUUGAGCCUUUCUAUUCAUAUUCUUACCUUGUUUUUUAUAUACCAUUCUCAAAAUACUCUUUAUUAUUGUUCAUUGCUUUAAUUUCUUCUUUUUGGGGUGAAAUUUCUCCUCAGCCUUGAUGCUCUCAGGAACCAUGAUUCACCAGAGGAAAACGAUCAAGAUUGAUGUUUUGGUUGCAUGUGUCACAUUUAAAUGUAGAAGUUCAACGGCACACUAGGUUGAAGAAGUUCGACAUUAAGGAAAAUGAUCAACAUUAAUGUUUUGGUUGCAUGUGUCACAUUUAAAUGUGUGACAUCAUUGCUACGUUUCAUUGCCAAACUUCGUGAUGGUGAGAAAUAUGAGAUUGAUUUUGAUCGGGAUACUUUCCAACCUAUUGGCCAGUAUGCUGCGAAGUUCAAGAGUUAUUUGUCAUUCGUUGCACGUAGCAAGGCUAAGUUCACUUGCCCCCCUGAUGAUAAUGAUGAAGAUAAUAAGCAACUUAAGAAGCAUUGGUAUAGAGACAUAGAAAUGUUGCCAAAACAAAAAUUAAAGAAGAAG